rnacentral:tRNA from 1 species
CAGAGCAUAGCUUAAAACAAAGCAUUUUGCUUACACCAAAAAUAUAUCUACAUAAGAUUACUCUGA